rnacentral:rRNA from 1 species
CAGUAGCCGCGGGAAUACGUAGGUGGCAAGCGUUGUCCGGAAUUAUUGGGCGUAAAGCGCGCGCAGGUGGUUUAAUAAGUCUGAUGUGAAAGCCCACGGCUCAACCGUGGAGGGUCAUUGGAAACUGUUAAACUUGAGUGCAGGAGAGAAAAGUGGAAUUCCUAGUGUAGUGGUGAAAUGCGUAGAGAUUAGGAGGAACACCAGUGGCGAAGGCGGCUUUUUGGCCUGUAACUGACACUGAGGCGCGAAAGCGUGGGGAGCAAACAGGAUUAGAUACCCCAGUAGUCCCUGUCUCUUAUAC